rnacentral:rRNA from 1 species
GACGAACGCUGGCGGCGUGCUUAACACAUGCAAGUCGAACGGAAAGGCCCUGCUUUUGUGGGGUGCUCGAGUGGCGAACGGGUGAGUAACACGUGAGUAACCUGCCCUUGACUUUGGGAUAACUUCAGGAAACUGGGGCUAAUACCGGAUAGGAGCUCCUGCUGCAUGGUGGGGGUUGGAAAGUUUCGGCGGUUGGGGAUGGACUCGCGGCUUAUCAGCUUGUUGGUGGGGUAGUGGCUUACCAAGGCUUUGACGGGUAGCCGGCCUGAGAGGGUGACCGGCCACAUUGGGACUGGGAUACGGCCCAGACUCCUACGGGAGGCAGCAGUGGGGAAUAUUACACAAUGGGCGGAAGCCUGAUGCAGCAACGCCGCGUGCGGGAUGACGGCCUUCGGGUUGUAAACCGCUUUCGCCUGUGACGAAGCGUGAGUGACGGUAAUGGGUGAAGAAGCACCGGCUAACUACGUG